rnacentral:lncRNA from 1 species
CUUUUAGGGUUUCUUAUCCUAUUGAGCUCGAGGAUCUUUAAAGGUCAACAUCUAAUUGAUUUUAAAUUAGAGGUUUAGGUCAAUGCAAUUGCAAGAUGGUGGUUUGUGGGCCAAGAAAGGGUAAUAAAAUCUCCACAUUAUGUUGAUUAGGGUUUUGUCCUUAAGAUUUUUUAUGAAAAUAUGCAAUGCAAGAAGAAAAAGUAUCCAAACAUGUUAAGUAACUUUUAAGAUUUAAUUGGUUUAUUUAUAUUAGUCAAGUGUUAUGUGGUGUCUUUGUAUUCUUUUUAUAUUAUGUUAUCUUUAAGCAAGAAGG